GAGUCGGACCUGCCCAGUGAAUUAAUUUUUUAACGGCCGCGGUACUCUGACCGUGCAAAGGUAGCAUAAUCAUUUGCCCUAUAAUUGAGGGCUAGUAUGAAUGGUUUGACGUGAGCAAGACUGUCUCUACGUAAAUUUAUAGAACUUGAUUUUUAGGUGAAGAAACCUAAAUUUUAUUGAUAGACAAGAAGACCCUAUUGAGCUUUAAAAGAGUAGGUAGAAAAUAAUAUAUAAAUUUAAAUAUUAAUCUAUUUUAAAUUUUGGUUGGGGCGACUAAGGAACAAACAAAGCUUCUUUAAUACCUAUAUACUGGCAAGUUUUGAUCCAGAAGUUCUGAUUAAUGGAAAUAGUUACCAUAGGGAUAACAGCAUAAUUUUCUUUGAGAGUCCUUAUCGAAAAGAAAGUUUGUGACCUCGAUGUUGGACUAGAAUAUCCUGAAGAUGCAGCAGUCUUUAAGGGUUGGUC
rnacentral:rRNA from 1 species